rnacentral:rRNA from 1 species
GAGAGUUAAAUAGUACGUGAAAUUGUUGAAAGGGAAACGAUUGAAGUCAGUCAUGCUAGUGAAAAAUCAGUUUGACGGGUUUUGAGUUCAGGAGUAGAGGCAGGGUCAAACCGUUUCUCUUUUGGACUUGGGAUUUGUUAGAUGUACUUUUUCUUUGGCAGGUCAGCGUCGAUUUCGGAGGUUGUAAAAUACUUGGGGGAAAGUAACUCUGCUUCGGGAGAGUAUUAUAGACCCUGGGGGAUGCAGCCUGCGGGAUCGAGGAUUGCAGCAAAUGCCUUUGGCUUGUCGCCUGAUCUCUGGAUGUUACCUCGCUUGUGACAACAUUCUUGGUACCGGUGAGUAAUGGUGCUCAUAGGUUAGAGCGAUCAAAAAUUUUGCUAAGGAUGCUGACGUAAUGGCUUUAAACGA